rnacentral:rRNA from 1 species
UGCGUAGGCGGACUAAUAAGUCAGUGGUGAAAUCUUUCGGCUCAACCGAGAAACUGCCAUUGAUACUGUUAGUCUUGAGUUCGGUUGAGGUAGGCGGAAUGUGUAAUGUAGCGGUGAAAUGCUUAGAUAUUACAUAGAACACCAAUUGCGUAGGCAGCUUACUAGACCGACACUGACGCUGAGGCACGAAAGCGUGGGGAGCGAACAGGAUUAGAUACCCUGGUAGUCC